rnacentral:rRNA from 1 species
ACGUAGGGUGCGAGCGUUAAUCGGAAUUACUGGGCGUAAAGCGUGCGCAGGCGGUGAGUUAAGUCUGCUGUGAAAGCCCCGGGCUCAACCUGGGAAUGGCAGUGGAAACUGGCUCGCUGGAGUGUGGCAGAGGGGGGUGGAAUUCCGCGUGUAGCAGUGAAAUGCGUAGAGAUGCGGAGGAACACCGAUGGCGAAGGCAGCCCCCUGGGCCAACACUGACGCUCAGGCACGAAAGCGUGGGGAGCAAACA